rnacentral:rRNA from 1 species
UGGGGGAUAUUGCACAAUGGGCGAAAGCCUGAUGCAGCGACGCCGCGUGGGGGAUGAAGGCUUUCGGGUUGUAAACUUCUUUUGCUCUGAACAAGGCAUGCCUUUGGGGUGUGUUGAGUGUAGGGGUUGAUUAGCGCCGGCUAACUACGUGCCAGCAGCCGCGGUAAUACGUAGGGCGCGAGCGUUGUCCGGAAUUAUUGGGCGUAAAGGGCUUGUAGGUGGCUGGUUGCGUCUGUCGUGAAAGGUCAUGGCUUAACUGUGGGUUUGCGGUGGGUACGGGCUGGCUUGAGUGCAGUAGGGGAGGGUGGGAUUCCUGGUGUGGCGGUGGAAUGCGCAAAUAUCAGGAGGAAAACCGGUGGCGAAGGCGGGUCUCUGGGCUGUUACUGAAGCUGAGGGGCGAAAGCGUGGGGAGCGAACAGG